GGGUUGUGAGGUUAAGCGACUAAGCGUACACGGUGGAUGCCCUGGCAGUCAGAGGCGAUGAAGGACGUGCUAAUCUGCGAUAAGCGUCGGUAAGGUGAUAUGAACCGUUAUAACCGGCGAUUUCCGAAUGGGGAAACCCAGUGUGUUUCGACACACUAUCAUUAACUGAAUCCAUAGGUUAAUGAGGCGAACCGGGGGAACUGAAACAUCUAAGUACCCCGAGGAAAAGAAAUCAACCGAGAUUCCCCCAGUAGCGGCGAGCGAACGGGGAGCAGCCCAGAGCCUGAAUCAGUGUGUGUGUUAGUGGAAGCGUCUGGAAAGGCGCGCGAUACAGGGUGACAGCCCCGUACACAAAAAUGCACAUAUUGUGAGCUCGAUGAGUAGGGCGGGACACGUGGUAUCCUGUCUGAAUAUGGGGGGACCAUCCUCCAAGGCUAAAUACUCCUGACUGACCGAUAGUGAACCAGUACCGUGAGGGAAAGGCGAAAAGAACCCCGGCGAGGGGAGUGAAAAAGAACCUGAAACCGUGUACGUACAAGCAGUGGGAGCACGCUUAGGCGUGUGACUGCGUACCUUUUGUAUAAUGGGUCAGCGACUUAUAUUCUGUAGCAAGGUUAACCGAAUAGGGGAGCCGAAGGGAAACCGAGUCUUAACUGGGCGUUAAGUU
rnacentral:rRNA from 1 species